UUUCCCAUUUCCCAUUUCCCAUUUCCCGUGUAUCUGAUAAAUCCCUAACCCAUCCCCUCCUCCAUUUUUUUCCCCAAAUCGAAAAACCACCUCCACCGAUCCACCAUUCCACCUCCGGUGUCCGGUCCUCCACGACUAUUAAAGUCCUUGCUUGUAAUAAUCUGGCUAUUGAGAGAAACAAGCUAUUGAGGCAGAAAAACAGCAGGCCCAGUCAGGUUGCUAUCACUUAGAGUGAGUUGACUUAGCAGCUGCUUUUUUCCGUAUGGGGAUGGAAACGAAGGAUGAGUUCAUGACUUUCGAGCCAGAGCAGGCCCAAGUGGGAUCUCGAGGACCGACGUUAGUAAUUAACGAGAUGGUGAUGAGGAACGUCAAGUCUUAUGCCGGUGAGCAGCGCGUCGGUCCCUUUCACAAGAUUCGCAUGGAAACUCGAUCUGGGGUUAAGCAUUUUAUUCCUGCUUGGAUCAAGUUCUCUGUUCAAGCAGCUGGUGAAAUCCCAUACAGUGGAAUAUACUAUGAUCCACCAGAAGAGAGCAGCUACAGGGAGUACCUAAAACUAAAAGCUAGAUAUGAGGAACUGCAAUGAACUCAGAGGUGUUUAGUCUGACAACCAUACCAUAGCUUUGGACUUCCAUAUUAGUUUGAUAGGCUAUUAGUCCAUUUAGAAGUGUAUACUCAACUUACUCCAUGAUUGUAAUUACUAAAAGUAUUUGAAUAAGAGCAAUUUUAUGUGCAAUCUGGUUUGGUCCUUUGAUUCAACAGGAAUCUUCGCGUUUAUUAGACUUGGGUCUAUAGAACUCCAAGAAGCUUGAGCAGCUUGAGCAUCAACUAGAGUCAUCCUUGAAACAUGUCCGCUCCACCAAGACUGGUCAAGCUAUGGCAAGUGCUCUCAAUGUUGUACAAACAUCUCAUUCGUUUGGGGAUUUAAUGCUCCUAAUGAAAGCUGCUGAACUGCAACAAGAAAGGCCCUGGAGUUAUAUGGUUGAAAUGGUCAGGAUUGAAUCUAUGAGUCCAAUUUGAAACUCUUAUUCGUCUUUCCAUAAAAAUACAUUUCUGUACCAUAUAAGCAGCUUGGAGGCGGUGGACUUUCUGGAUAAGUUUCUUUCCAUGAAUUCGGACACUAGUGGCUGUGUUAAACUUCAUGAUUUCCUUGAUGUGGAGAAGAAUGGAUCAAUUACAUUCAAGCAGUUUUUAUUCGGGAUAGCUCAUGUUAUGAAGAAACCACUACUCAUGCAAGCUUGUGAAUUAGCAUUUGCCGAAUGUGAUGUUACAAAUGGAAUGCAAGCCCCGUGGUUGGUGGAGUGGUUGGUGGAGAUAGGUAUCUGCAAGGCUUAGCACUUCUUCAAGUGGAGUGUUAUUUAAUGUUGCAUUCCAUGGUCGUUUAUCUUAGUCGGAACUUGAAUUCGGUGUUAUUGAAACAGGGUUUUGUAGCUACCUUGUGUACUAGCUUCUUUAACCAUGAUUGUUAAUUAUUACAUGUUUUGUAGCUUCUUUUAUAUUUGGCUGAGUUAAUAUAGAUCAGAUGAGCUUUGAGGUA